GGCCUCGUAGCUCAGCUGGUAGAGCGUGCGCGUACAAAGCCUAGGCCGCCGUGGGUUCGAAUCCCACUGAGACUA
rnacentral:tRNA from 1 species